rnacentral:miRNA from 1 species
CCACCCUAACAAAACUCCCCCC